GGCCCCAGAGCUUCUUCAGUACUUGCUGUCUAUAGUAAGCAUCUCAAACUUUAAUGUGCAUAUGGAUCACCUGGGAAUCUUGUCAAAAUGCAGCUUCCAGAUGCGAAUUCUCACAAAGGUGUAUAAUUCCUGAUUCUCACAAAGGUGUCUAAUGUCGUCCAUGGCCCAGUGCAGAGGAACACAGGUGUUGCCGUCAGACUGCCAGGGUCCGAUCCCGCCUCUGUCACUCACCCCGGGAGCUCCCUUUAAGCCAGGAGUCAACAGCGAGAUGGAAAUUGUCCUCCUUCCAGAUGUCCUCAGCAUUCUCAUUCGCGAUGUUACGUACAGCAGCUUCAUUACAGAUGUCUCCAGCGUCAUUCAAGAUGUCAGGUCCAGCAGCCUCAUUACAGAUGUCCACAGUGUCCUCGUUACAGAUGUCUACGGCGUCCUCAUCGCAGAUGUCAUAUACAGUGUCUUUGUCAGAGAUGUCCUGUAUAGGGUCCCCACAGGGGGCUAGGAGAACACAGAGUAAAGAAGAAGGAUGACCAAUAAGAUGAACAGGAAAGAAAUGAGAAACAGAGGUCUUUGCUUAGGAGCUAAAGGCCACCUUCUGUAACACAAAAUAGUCUACAAGUGGCCUUGAACUCUGCCGUGAUUCAGUGAUAGAGUUCCCUCAUGUUGUCUACCCACGUUGAAGUCCAGCGACACUGCGACUGUCUUCUUUACAACUUGCAAGACAUGCUGCUUCUGCAUUUGCCUGUUGUAUGAGAUUUACACCUGUUUUAAAGCCACGUGUUGUUUCAGUUGGGCUGGUGGCCAUACACUGCACUAGCCAGUCAAUAGUGAGAUGGCUCCUCAUGGAGGUGGCUUGGCUUGAGGCUGAGGGUCUUUAACCCACAUGCACAAGAGAGUUGCCACAAGGGGACGGAAGCCAGGCUAAUAACCAACUGCUGUACAGAGUUCCCAUCUGUCCCUCCUCACCAUUUUCAGCUGGCAGGAUUUCAGCAUUUUAGGGCUUGGGAAGAUAAUAUUACUAAAUCUACUAAAAUACAUCACCCAUCCUUAUAGGCUUUGGCCAGUUGCUGAGCAAAUUAACUUCACAACUGAAGUGGGCCACAUUGGCCUGCAUGGUCCCCCGCUUCUCUUAGAAUCUGUGAGUGUGGGGCCUACUGGAGGGUGGGAGGUGGGAGGAGGGGGAGGAUCAGGAAAAAUAGCUGAUAUUAGGCUUAAUAUAUGGGUGAUGAAAUAAUCUGUACAACAAACUCUUGACACAUGUAUAUGUAUGUAGCAAACCAGAACAUCCUGCACAUGUACCCCUGAACUUUAAAUAAAAGUUAAAAAAAAAAAAAGUCUGUGAGCUGACCCAAACCCCCGGGGAUCUUUGUGCUUUUGACACACUGAUAACUACACCGGUCCGUGGGGAGAUGCGCCUAUAACUGCCCUGGGUCGUGUGACCACGGAGGCCACUUUAUGGUGAUGGGCAGUGUCUGGGACCUCUUAGGCUCAGUGCUUUAGUGCUUAUACAUGAAUGCUGGACUCCCUGCGUGGUGGCGAACACCCCAUGACUAAGUGCAUGUCAGCAUCAGCACUGGCCCACACUCCUGGGUUCGUGUUUUCACUUUUUCAUUCAGGAACUCGGGAGCUGGGGCCACCCCCUUGGCCCUUCAGGUUCUCCACCUGAGCAGUGGGGAUAAGAAGCCAGACCCAGGGAUGGCUCUGCUGAGGGUGGAGGAGUCACUGUACAGAGAGAGUAGAGGGGGAUGGAUUUUAUUGUUGGAAGUGGACACUGGUGAUUGAGUUGUAUAAAUGGGAAAUCUCUCCUGAGAAAACACAAGCCUCACCUGUACAAACACACGCACACUCACACACACUCACACACACUCACACACACUCUCACACACACACACACUCACACACUCUCACACACACUCACACACACACUCUCUCACACACCACACACACACUCUCACACACAAUUCACACUCACACACUCACACACACACUCACACACACCCCCCACAUGAUGCAGCCUCACACAAGACACCACCAAUCCUCAAGCACCCAACUCAGUACCACCCAAAAAGGAGCACAGCUGCUUCCUCAAAAAUUGGCCAUAAUUUUUUCCCUGGGGAACUCGGGUUUUUUUACAAACACUUCCACUCUGCUGAUUCCUAUCACAGUCCCAGGCUCAGGGUGGCUCUUCACAUUGAAACCUGCAAGGAUGCCACACCUUUCUUUGCAUUCAGAUUGCUUUCUUUGCAAGUAAUUCCAGAAUACUUACUAGAGUCAAACCUUAGAGGGACCACCUGCACCACCUGCAAUACAGAAACAAAGCUUUAUGAGGGGUACGUCGUGUUGUGGAUUGUUUGUACAAGGCUCUGUUUCUCUCAGUGAAUACUGAAAACAAGAUCAGAAAGUGUGGUCAAAUUCAAGACCCCCCAAACAAGGGUAGGAUACACACUAGAAAAGAUAUCAGCUUCUGGAUGUUGGAUCUCUCAGGUCCACGUAGCUUGGCAAGUGCAAAAUACUGAAUCCAAGGAGAAGACAUUGCUUCCAAGGACAAGGACCCCAAGGAUACAGUCUACAACCUGAAGCUGUCACAGGUAUAUGCCAUUUUGGAUUAUGUAUCAGUUGCUAAGAGUCGCUUCUUCCACCCCCUCAGAAAACUGCAUUUAAUACCUGUAAUGUACACUGUCAUUUUUUCACACGUAAAGUCAAUUGAAAAAGAAAGACGCCAAGAAAGAAGCAUUUCUGUUUCAGGGAAAGCAACGCAACCUUACCCUCGCGUUGACCAGCCUCUCUCCAUCUCCUCUGUCCUUGUGAGUUGGAGACUCCUCAAGGGCUAGAAGGACACAGAGCAACAGUUAGUCACAGAUGCUUUUGUUCAUGAGUUAUUCAGGGAGCUCUGCUUAAUGCGGACAACAGGACAGUGUAUGCAGAUGUGUUUCAUUAAAAGCACAGCUUGAGCUGCUGCUAGAAAAUCUUCCCUCAUGGAAAGACAGGCAAGAACAAGGAACUGAGGAGCGAGAAACAGAGUCCCUGGCAUUUUGCUGAUGGCAACUUAAGGCAACGGGAAUGAGUCAGUCUACAAAUGGUACUGAAGCACACGCUAUAAUCGGAUGAGAGUCCCACUGCUCACACCGUGAGGUUUGAAACCCAGCUAAAUGGUUUUCUAAACCCUGUAAAACAAUAUUAGCUUGUAGGAUUGAUGUCUCCCUUUGUGUAGAACUUUAGAUUCACAAACUUCAUCAAUUUGUAUGAAAUCCUCAGCAAUUGACCCCAAACAGAUAAGACUGAAACAAUAUUUUAGGAAUAGUUGAAAGUAUUAUCACCACAAAACAUAGGCGUAAUCAAAUGCUGAAAGUUACACGUAAGGCACGAUGACAAAUAAAGCAGCAAAAGACUGUUCACAUGAGGGUCUCAGGCUGCACAGACACCCACACUGGCUGAGGGGUCCUGGUUUUCGUAAAGGGUGUGGCUCAGCCAGGCCACCAACAAGCAGUUAACAAACAGUAGUGUAGUAACACGACACUUUCCAAAGACCUUACUUGAGUAACAUGGUGAUCCUUACAAAUUUCCAAUCAGGAUGGUGGCACAGUUCCUCCUGCUUUAGGACACAGAGCCUGCCUGUGGUCACAGGGGGUAGGUGCAGACUCUGAAGAUGCACUUCGGUCAGAGACUCUGCUGAACUCUGUCUACUGAGGGCCUCUGUCCUGUCUGCUGACCACAGGCCAGAGGUGCAGGCUGCACUGGGGAGUGAGAAUGUCACCUCUCAAUGUUAGGAAAACUCCCUGCCAGAACUGAGAAUGGCCCUUUCUAAGCAGAAAGCAAACUCAGACUAAAGGAAGAGGCCGACCACAUCAGGCUGCCAGAUUGCCGAACAUUCACUCAGGGAGAGCCCACAUCCUGGGCCAUCUUGGAUGGUGGCAAGAUGAGAUAGAUCACCGCUUUUGCAACACACACCUGACAACAAAAAAUCAACAGAUGUAAAAGAGCCAGAAAAAUCCCCAAAUAUUUGCAAAUUAGCAAUGCAUUUUUAAAUAACUCAUGGAUUAAAGUUUCAAUAGAAAAUUAAAAAUACCUUUAACUACAUUAAACGAAAAUGUGACUUGAUGAGAUUUCUGGAUGUAACAAAAGCAGUCCAUAGAGGGGAAUUCAUAGCAUUGGAUGCAAUAUAUUACAAAUUACAAAACCUAAAAUCAGUAAUAUCAUGUUUCAAUUAGGAAACUGUAGAAAAUAAAGGAAUGCAAUGUAAAGCAAGUAGAAGUAAUAAACAGCAUCACAGAAGUCAAUAAAAUUAAAACACUGAAAUCAUCAGAAAAUCAUUAAAACCAAAAGUUGGUUAUUUGAGAUGCCAAUUACAAUGAAUGAACUUCUACGCAGGCUAACCAAGAAAAAGAAGAUAACACAAAUGACCAAUUUCAGAAAUAAUACAGGAGUCAUCUCGACUGAACUGUUGGGCAGUAAAAGGAUAAUCAAGGAAUAUUAUGAACAAUUCUAUGACCACAGUUCGAUAACCUCAGUGAAAUGUAUCAAGUCCUUAAAAGACACUCUUCCUAAGGUCACACCAGAAUCCUAGAUAAUUUUAAUAAGCUUAUGUCUAUUAAAUAGGUUGAAUUCACAUUAAGAGCAUUCCAAAAAAGAAAGCACCAGACCCAGAUGGUUUCUCUCAUGAAAU
rnacentral:lncRNA from 1 species